rnacentral:lncRNA from 1 species
UACAAUGGUAAAACCAUGGGAAAUGGAAAGUUUGGGUGGCCAUCUGGUGCUACAUAUGAAGGAGAGUUUAAAAGUGGGUACAUGGAUGGUACCGGCACAUACACUGGUCCAAGUGGAGAUGCUUAUAAAGGCCAGUGGGUGAUGAACCUGAAGCAUGGACAUGGUGUCAAGAGUUUUGCAAAUGGAGAUGCCUAUGAUGGUGAAUGGAGGAGAGGUCUGCAAGAAGGUCAUGGAAGGUAUCAAUGGAGUGAUGGAUGUCAUUACACUGGUGAAUGGAAGAAUGGUACCAUCUAUGGCAAAGGGAGCUUUGUGUGGACUAAUGGUAAUAGAUAUGAUGGGUGUUGGGAUGAAGGGUUUCCUAGAGGGAAUGGGACUUAUAAAUGGGAUGAUGGUAGUUUCUAUGUUGGUAACUGGUCUAAAGAUCCAGAGGAGAUGAAUGGUACUUAUUAUCCAUCAGGAAAUGAAGGGAAUCUUGAAUGGGAUCCUAAAGAUUUGUUUGAUAAUUUGAGUGAGUACACUAUAUGCAGCGGGGAGAGGGUUCCUAUGCUGCCAUCACAGAAGAAACUAGCUGUUUGGAACUCUUCUAAGCGUAUAGAGAAGCCUAGAAGGGUGUCAGUUGAUGGGAGGGUGAGUGUGGGUGUAGAUAGAGCGUUUGAGAAGAUGAAUAUGUGGGGGAAUGAAACCGGUGAAGAAGGCACAGAUUUGAGGAAGGAGUUGGAUGCAGAGUUGAUGAGAUUGGAGGCUGAAGGCAUUCAGAGCCUUAAGUCUAGCCCUGUGCCUAUGAAACUACCAAAGGCAGGGAGGAAGCAAGGGGAGACUAUUUCUAAAGGUCAUCGCAAUUACGACCUUAUGCUUAAUCUACAGCUAGGGAUCAGGUAAAUAUGAUCUUUGUUGGUAUAUAUGCACAUGGAGCCAUGCCAUUGUUUCUGGUGUCAUGUUUAGUGGUUUUGUCUCCACAGACAUUCUGUUGGAAGACAAGCUCCAGCGGCAUCUCUUGAUCUGAAACCUUCAGCUUUUGAUCCAAAAGAUAAGAUAUGGAGGAGGUUUCCACGUGAAGGAACUAAGUACACACCUCCACAUCAAUCUACUGAGUUCAAAUGGAAAGAUUAUUGCCCACUAGUUUUCAGGUUAGUCUUUUUUUUAACAUUCUUAGUAAUCAUGUGUUUCUUACACUUAACAUGUUUUGCUCAUGAUUUAAUGCUCCAGGAGCUUGAGGAAGCUAUUCAAAGUAGACCCAGCUGAUUAUAUGUUAUCCAUCUGUGGGGAUGAUGCCCUCAGAGAAUUAUCAUCCCCUGGUAAAAGUGGGAGCUUCUUUUACUUAACAAAUGAUGACCGUUACAUGAUAAAAACAAUGAAGAAGUCUGAAACAAAAGUAAGAUUUAUUCAAGUUACCAUAUAUUGUUGUUGUUAUUGGUGUUACCAAGUAUUUAAAUUGCAUAUACUUAAAACGUCUUGAUGUUAGGUGCUUCUGAGGAUGCUUGCAGCAUAUUACAACCAUGUUAGAGCUUUUGAGAACUCUUUAGUAAUCAGAUUCUUUGGUCUACACUGUGUGAGAUUGAAUGGACCAACUCAAAAGAAGGUAGAUACAAAACACUAACUCUUAAUGUGACAUGGCCUUAGAAAGGGCUGGUUUGAUCUCAUAUCUCUCUUGGUCUGCAACAGGUGAGGUUUGUCAUAAUGGGUAAUCUGUUUUGUUCUAAGUACUCUGUUCACAGAAUCUUUGAUCUGAAAGGAUCUUCUCUUGGACGCACCACCGACAAACCCGAAUCAGAAAUCGAUUCAAACACCAUCUUAAAAGACCGUGACCUGAGUUUCAUUUUCAGAUUGCAGAAAGCAUGGUACCAAGAAUUCACCAGGUGGAAAGCCAUUCUACUCUACUCUUGAUUGGUUAGUUUUUGCUUGUUUCAUUUCUCAUGUCUCAUUGUUAAAACUACAGGCAAAUAGAUAAAGACUGUGAGUUCUUAGAACAAGAGAGGAUCAUGGACUAUAGUCUUCUAGUUGGUAUUCACUUCAGAGAAUCUUCAGUAGCUGGACGAAGGAGAGUUUAAAAGUGGGUACAUGGAUGGUACCGGCACAUACACUGGUCCAAGUGGAGAUGCUUAUAAAGGCCAGUGGGUGAUGAACCUGAAGCAUGGACAUGGUGUCAAGAGUUUUGCAAAUGGAGAUGCCUAUGAUGGUGAAUGGAGGAGAGGUCUGCAAGAAGGUCAUGGAAGGUAUCAAUGGAGUGAUGGAUGUCAUUACACUGGUGAAUGGAAGAAUGGUACCAUCUAUG